GUGGGUAUUACUCAGCAGUAGAGCACAUGCUUAACAUGCAGGAGGUCCUGGGUUCAAUCCCCAGUACCUCCA
rnacentral:tRNA from 1 species